CGGGCGCCGGCUGCAUUUUCGCGCGCGUGGGAAGAGUUGGUGGUGAAGAAGAACCCGGAAGUGCGCCAUCCUGCCUCCGUUCGUCCAAACAGGUUUCUGCAACAAUGGGCCUCUGCUUCAUCCUGGAAGGGUUACUCUUCAUUCCAGUUACAGUACAAUAGCAUCAGUUUGCAACUGAGACUGACAUAUCCAGCAGACCAAUUCUAUGAAUCAAGCGUAAAUGCCAUGCAGGAUAGAGAAGUAAAAAUCACUAUUUCCAGUCACUUGAAAUUAUUUUUCUUUGUUGGUUGAGUUGUAACUAAGUAUAUGG